AACGAACGCUGGCGGCAUGCUUAACACAUGCAAGUCGAACGAGAAAGUUCCUUCGGGGACGAGUAGAGUGGCGAACGGGUGAGUAACGCGUAGAUAAGCAACCCCCAAGUCUGGGAUAACUUUUCGAAAGGAAAGCUAAUACGGGAUAAUAGAAAGAGUCGAGUGGCUCCUUCUUGAAAGAUUUAUCGCUUGGGGACGCAUCUGCGUCCCAUUAGCUAGUUGGUGAGGUAAAGGCUCACCAAGGCAACGAUGGGUAGCGGGUUUGAGAGGAUGAUCCGCCACACUGGCACUGAGGCACGGGCCAG
rnacentral:rRNA from 1 species